rnacentral:rRNA from 1 species
AGCAGCCGCGGUAAUUCCAGCUCCAAUAGCGUAUAUUAAAGUUGUUGCAGUUAAAAAGCUCGUAGUUGAAUUUCGGGAUUGGCGCAUCGGUCGUGCCUCACGGGGUAUGAACUGGUGCAGUCAAUUUCUCACCUUCUGGAGAACCGCGAUGUCCUUAAUUGGAUGCCGCGGGGAACCAGGACCUUUACUUUGAAAGAAUUAGAGUGUUUAAAGCAGGCAUUUUUGCUUGAAUACAUUAGCAUGGAAUAAUAAAAUAGGACGGCAUGGUUCUAUUUUGUUGGUUUCUAGGACCACCGUAAUGAUUAAUAGGGAUAGUUGGGGGCAUUAGUAUUCAAUUGUCAGAGGUGAAAUUCUUGGAUUUAUUGAAGACUAACUACUGCGAAAGCAUUUGCCAAGGAUGUUUUCAUUAAUCAAGAACGAAAGUUAGGGGAUCGAAGACGAUCAGAUACCGUCGUAGUCUUAACCAUAAACUAUGCCGACUAGGAAUCAGACGAUGUUAAUUUUUAAUGACUCGUUUGGU